GGCUACACACGUGCUACAAUGGGUAGUACAGAGAGUCGCAAAACCGCGAGGUGGAGCUAAUCUCAGAAAACUAUUCUUAGUUCGGAUUGUACUCUGCAACUCGAGUACAUGAAGUUGGAAUCGCUAGUAAUCGCGAAUCAGCAAUGUCGCGGUGAAUACGUUCUCGGGUCUUGUACACACCGCCCAUCACACCACGAGAGUUGGUUGCACCUGAAGUAGCAGGCCUAACCGUAAGGAGGGAUGCUCCGAGGGUGUGAUUAGCGAUUGGGGUGAAGUCGUAACAAGGUAUCCGUACGGGAACGU
rnacentral:rRNA from 1 species